GAUGAACGCUGGCGGCGUGCUUAACACAUGCAAGUCGGACGGGAAUUAUUUUAUUGAAACUUCGGUCGAUUUAAUUUAAUUCUAGUGGCGGACGGGUGAGUAACGCGUGGGUAACCUGCCUUAUACAGGGGGAUAACAGUCAGAAAUGGCUGCUAAUACCGCAUAAGCGCACAGAGCUGCAUGGCUCAGUGUGAAAAACUCCGGUGGUAUAAGAUGGACCCGCGUUGGAUUAGCUGGUUGGUGGGGUAACGGCCCACCAAGGCGACGAUCCAUAGCCGGCCUGAGAGGGUGAACGGCCACAUUGGGACUGAGACACGGCCCAGACUCCUACGGGAGGCAGCAGUGGGGAAUAUUGCACAAUGGGGGAAACCCUGAUGCAGCGACGCCGCGUGAGGGAAGAAGUAUCUCGGUAUGUAAACUUCUAUCAGCAGGGAAGAUAGUGACGGUACCUGACUAAGAAGCCCCGGCUAACUACGUG
rnacentral:rRNA from 1 species